rnacentral:rRNA from 1 species
AGCGAACGCUGGCGGCAGGCCUAACACAUGCAAGUCGAACGAACCUUUCGGGGUUAGUGGCGGACGGGUGAGUAACACGUUGGAACGUGCCUUUAGGUUCGGAAUAACUCAGGGAAACUUGUGCUAAUACCGAAUGUGCCCUUCGGGGGAAAGAUUUAUCGCCUUUAGAGCGGCCCGCGUCUGAUUAGCUAGUUGGUUGAGGUAAUGGCUCACCAAGGCGACGAUCAGUAGCUGGUCUGAGAGGAUGAUCAGCCACAUUGGGACUGAGACACGGCCCAAAACCGUGCGGGGGAGCGUGGUGGGGAAAUUGGCGCAAGGGGCGAAAGCCUGAAGCGGCCGGGCCGGGAGAAAGAGGAGGGUAUUGGGAUUGGAAAAUUCUUUCACCGGGGAGGAUAGGAGCGGACCCGGGGGAGGAAGCCCCGCUAAACAUGGG